rnacentral:tRNA from 1 species
UCCCUAGUGGCUCAGAUGGUAAAAGAGUCUGCCUGCAAUGCAGGAGACCCAGGCUUGAUCCCUGGGUUGGGAA